UUUUAUUCUAGAAAGGUUGUAAUAAUUGAAGGAUCUUACUUUUGCUAAAUGGGGGGAAAGAAGUUCAAAACCCUACAGAAGCACACAAAGGCUGCAUAAAAAUACACCCAUAUGCAUAUGAUUAUGUAGCCUGAGAAUCAGCACAUAAAGGUAUGUAAAAAAAUCACAACAGUCAGGAUUUUUAGCAAGCAGCUUUUAACUGUAGGAGAGCACACAACAGAGCUGCCAGCUCUUCUUUUCUUCCCUCUGCAGGCCGUAAAUUUGCAGAAUCAUCUCUUGGUCUCUGGGGAAAUGCCCUUUGCUAGGCUGCCUUUCCUCAUUUUCCUGUUCCCAGGAAAAAAAAAAAAACAAACAAAAACCCCCAAAAAACAGAAAAACAAACCAAACAAAAAAACCCCAAACAAACAACAAAAAAAGUCCCACAAAGACUAACCAUCAGUAACUCAGAACAUCUCCAUAUUCUAGCAGCAGCCUGGUUAGCACCAAGAGUCACCACCACUGAGCCUUCCAGUCCUGACAGCACUCACCCACUUCUAAGAGCUAUUCCUAUGGAUUUCCUGGGUUGUCUUUCCUGGUUUCUGUGAGGGUGACUCCCCAAAAUCCUGUCAUCCUCUUCCAGUAUGGAGAUAAUCCUACCUUGUACUCAUCUACUUUUAAUUAAUUACAUUUAAGGACAGGAAAGAGUAACUAAGCACUUGUGGAGAAAGGAUGGGAGGGAAGAACUAAAAGCUGUUUUAGAGGGGAGAUAAAAGAUAUCUGGAGUAAUUUUCUUCCUUCCCCAUCCCUCCAUUUCUUCUUCUCAUUUAAGAAAGUAAAGUAAGAAUGAGUGUAAAUAAACAUGAAUAUAAGUACUUUCAUAUGCAAACGUUUCUAACUCUACAAAUGAGUUUUUGCUGCUGGCUGUCGCCUGACAGUCUGAGAUAGUGAAAGUGCAAGUCAUUGAACAAAAAGCUGUGAGGAGAGCAACACAGAAAAUGCAUCUGAAAAACAGGAAAGCUGCUAAAAGCCUAGGUUUUUGAGAGAUCGAGUUCCCUGGUCAAAACUGCAAUAAGCAAGACAAAAUAGAACAUUCCACAAUGGGGGAAAAGUGCAGGAAAUAUAUGAAUAGAAGACAGCAGGCGAGUAUCUGUUUAAGAGACAGCAUAUGCAAAGGUGAGUAAUGUCUAAUUCCUUGGAUCUGAUUCAAAUGGCAGCGUUCAUGAAAUCCAGAGGAGUGGAAAUAGUGUUUGGCAAAAAUAGCCCAUUUAAAGGGGAAAGAGGGCAGCAUCUGUUGACACACGGGGCUGUUAGCAAACAAAGCUAUGGUUAGUGGCAAUUAGGGUUGUUGCAGUAGAUGCUCCGUUCACUCCAAAACCAAAAAUAAUGGAAAGGACAGAAUGGAAAGGCUGAUGUUUUCCUUCCACAAAACUAUUAACACUGCCUACAGUAUUGCAGCCUACUUCACACGGGGUUCCCCUAUAUUUCCUGGAAAUAUCAAAAAGCAAUACACACUUGUGCUUCAUCUAAUGCAUGCUACAGUCUGGGUUCUUUAUGCACUUUUAAGGAUUACAAUUUUUCCUGUAUCAGUUAAUUUUUCAUCGUGGUACCAGAAAAUAUUCAAGUACCUCCGAAAAUGUAUGCUCUAUAUUUGGGUGGUUGCCAUUUCAAUGAGACUCUUCUACAAAAUAAGGGUUUUUAGCUUAUGUUAAAAAUGAACUCUGUAACAUAACUUGAAACAAGUUGCAGCAAAUGCUGUGCCAUCAUACCAUCUGUGUUCAAGUACAGCUCUAAAGCUCUUCUCCUAUUGCUUCCUAAAGUGGAAAAUAAUGGUAAAAAAUAAAAACAGAUAAGAUGAAGUAUUGUGUAUUAGAAUACAUUAUGAACCUGAGCCUUACAAUGUUUGUUUCAAAACCCCACUCUGUACCUGUAUACUCAAAUGAAGCAUUGUUUGGAAACCAAAGAGGAGGGUUAUAGUCUUCACAUUUAAAUUAAGCAACAGCGAUGUUCUCACCUGACACAGCUAGUAAAUUCUGGUGAGCUUCACUCUACACAAAAUUGCCUAUUUUGCUUUUUUUAGCUCUUUUCACAGGCUUUCCAACAAUAUUCCAUAGGAACAUGAGUGAAAUUCAUUAAACCUUGGAGUUAAUUGAAGGAACUAGAAUUGAUGAGAAAUAUUUUUUUUAAUAUCCCACUGUUAAAUUAACGUCUAAGAUAACAGAGGUUGAUGGACAAAAUUUACGUGGAGUACAAUAUAUAUUAUGACAAACCCCAACAUACAUCUUAGGCCACAAGGAAGGGUAGUAAGAAAUCCAGAAACAAACUCUGCAGGUAAAAUGCCACCACGGAAGAACUAACUGCUCUUUAUAUGAUACAAUGAAAAAAAAGCCUAGUUCUUGAAAAGUCAACUUUGUCAUGAGGAUCUUAAAGUAGCACCUUUUUGAUAUUCAGUCAAAAUACAGGAUGACUGUUUCGAAGAUGGAAGUGACCCUGUUCUGAUCACUUUAUCUCACUCUCAGGUCUACAGUCACUUUAUCACUGCAGGGUGCAAGGAAAACAAGGACCACGCUGGGAAGCUGUACUGGAACUGCCUCGAAAAGACAGAGAGAGGCGUGCAGGCAAGAGCAGGAGGCAGCGCAUCUGCGGGAGAACCUUGCUGAUCCCAGAGCCCAGGAGAAAGCAGGAGAGGUCAGGACACUGCAUACUUGAGACAGGGAUUCAAGCUGGGGCAUGCUGUUCAGAGGGGACAAGUGAAUGCCGACUUCCAAGACCUUUAGAAAACAGGCACGUUCUCAUCAACGUUUGGGUGGUGCUGUCCGAAAUGCCCGCUUGCCUGUCCCAGGGAGAGGCUUCCAGAGGGAUCGUCCUGCGC